GGGAGAGGCUUGGAGGAAAGUGAUUCUGCCCCCAACAACUAGGUUGGAAGUGUAUCUUUUAUGAAUCUACCAUUAGAUUAUCCAUCACUUUGAGAUCUAUACAGAUAGAUCAUUGAUGGCAUUUGGAGCUCUUUUAAAGUCUAUGUAUUGGAUGAUCUAACAAUAGAUUCAUCUUUCACCGGCAUGAAAGAUACAACGUCCAUCUCUUGGUAA
rnacentral:lncRNA from 1 species